rnacentral:rRNA from 1 species
GAUGAACGCUGGCGGCGUGCCUAAUACAUGCAAGUCGAGCGAACGGACGAGAAGCUUGCUUUUCUGAUGUUAGCGGCGGACGGGUGAGUAACACGUGGAUAACCUACCUAUAAGACUGGGAUAACUUCGGGAAACCGGAGCUAAUACCGGAUAAUAUUUUGAACCGCAUGGUUCAAAAGUGAAAGACGGUCUUGCUGUCACUUAUAGAUGGAUCCGCGCUGCAUUAGCUAGUUGGUAAGGUAACGGCUUACCAAGGCGACGAUGCAUAGCCGACCUGAGAGGGUGAUCGGCCACACUGGAACGGAGACACGGUCCAGACUCCUACGGGAGGCAGCAGUAGGGAAUCUGACGCAAUGGGCGAAAGCCUGACGGAGCAACGCCGCGUGAGUGAUGAAGGUCUUCGGAUCGUAAAACUCUGUUAUUAGGGAAGAACAUAUGUGGAAGUAACUGUGCACAGCUUGACGGUACCUAAUCAGAAAGCCACGGCUAACUACGUG